UGGAAAGGUUGGCAAGACUUUGUAUAAGGA
rnacentral:piRNA from 1 species